rnacentral:rRNA from 1 species
GCGUGAGUGAUGAAGGCCUUAGGGUUGUAAAGCUCUUUUACCCGCGACGAUGAUGACGGUAGCGGGAGAAUAAGCCCCGGCUAACUUCGUGCCAGCAGCCGCGGUAAUACGAAGGGGGCUAGCGUUGUUCGGAGUUACUGGGCGUAAAGGGCGCGUAGGCGGCGCAUCAAGUCAGGCGUGAAAGCCCUGGGCUCAACCCGGGAAUUGCGCUUGAGACUGGUGUGCUUGAGUACGGGAGAGGAUAGUGGAAUUCCCAGUGUAGAGGUGAAAUUCGU